rnacentral:rRNA from 1 species
UACGUAGGUGGCGAGCGUUGUCCGGAUUUACUGGGUGUAAAGGGCGUGCAGCCGGGCUGACAAGUCAGAUGUGAAAUCCCGCGGCUCAACCGCGGAACUGCAUUUGAAACUGUCAGUCUUGAGUACCGGAGAGGUCAUCGGAAUUCCUUGUGUAGCGGUGAAAUGCGUAGAUAUAAGGAAGAACACCAGUGGCGAAGGCGGAUGACUGGACGGCAACUGACGGUGAGGCGCGAAAGCGUGGGGAGCAAACAGG